AUGACAUUCUGGCGGCAGGGCCGCCACAUCCGGUGGGAGGGCAUUGGGGGCGCCGCGCCUGCCGUGCCACACCUCCAGCUGGCUGCCGCGUCCUCGGAGGCCGAGCACCCCCUGCUGGAUUCUCUUCUGCAGCAGCACAGCGACCUCUUCGACGAUCCGCGGGGUCUUCCACCGGCCCGGGUGUACGACCAUCAUAUUCACCUCGUACCAGGCUCCACUCCGGUGGCGGUACGGCCCUACCGCUACCCCCAGCUGCAGAAGGAUGAGUUGGAGCGCCAAUGUGCCCUGAUGCUCGCCGCAGGCAUCAUCCGGAUCUCCACGUCGCCCUUCACGGCGCCGGUGCUUCUCGUCCGUAAGUCAGACAGCACAUGGCGCUUCUGCAUCGACUACCGCGCCCUCAACGCACUCACGCUCAAGGACAAGUUCCCUAUACCGGUGGUCGACGAGCUCUUGGAUGAGCUCCAUGGGGCACGCUUCUUCACCAAGCUCGAUCUCCGGUCGGGCUAUCAUCAGGUGCGCAUGCAUCCGGACGACAUCGCCAAGACGGCGUUUCGCACCCACCAUGGCGACUUCGAGUUCUUGGUGAUGCCUUUCGGCCUCGCCAACGCCCCGGCGACGUUCCAGGCCCUGAUGAACGACGUCCUUCGACCCUACUUACGGCGGUUUGUGCUUGUUUUCUUUGAUGACAUUCUUAUCUACAGCGCCACCUGGGCCGAACACCUCCAGCACGUCGCCACCGUCUUCAACGAG
rnacentral:rRNA from 1 species